rnacentral:rRNA from 1 species
GGCGGCAUNCUUUACACAUGCAAGUCGAACGGUAACAGGGUGCUUGCACCGCUGACGAGUGGCGAACGGGUGAGUAAUGCGUCGGAACGUGCCGAGUAGUGGGGGAUAACGCAGCGAAAGUUGUGCUAAUACCGCAUACGUACUGAGGUAGAAAGUGGGGGACCUUCGGGCCUCACGCUAUUCGAGCGGCCGACGUCUGAUUAGCUAGUAGGUGAGGUAAAGGCUCACCUAGGCGACGAUCAGUAGCGGGUCUGAGAGGAUGAUCCGCCACACUGGGACUGAGACACGGCCCAGACUCCUACGGGAGGCAGCAGUGGGGAAUUUUGGACAAUGGGCGCAAGCCUGAUCCAGCCAUGCCGCGUGUCUGAAGAAGGCCUUCGGGUUGUAAAGGACUUUUGUCGGGGAGGAAAUCCCUAGCGUUAAUACCGCUGGGGGAUGACAGUACCUGAAGAAUAAGCACCGGCUAACUACGUGCCAGCAGCNNNCGGUAAUNAA